CGUCGGUCCCUGUGGGUUCAAACCCGCGUCAUAUUCCUAGUCGUCGAUCACGACGCUAUAAGUUGCCCGCUAGAAGGACAUGGAGUCCGGCGGAUUCUCAACUAACCGCGACGCCUCGGUACGCCGACUCAGGUUCACUUGGCCGUUGCACCCUUUCCUUCUCACAUACGCCAACUCGUAGAAGUGCAACACCUUGGCCAUCGUCGGACCUUCACAUCCGGACAUCCUCCAUAGCGCGUUCAACGCCAUCAACAACUUCCACAUAUUGGGGCAUAUCUGCCUAAAGGCGAGGUCGAACUCGCAUAGCACUAUUUGGAGAUUCGGCAACAGCGGAAACCAAACCCCUUGACAGAACACAGCCGCGUACCCCGUUGGCAGGGAUGAUGCGGGCUCGUUCCUCAACAGCGCCCUUAGCUUCGUUUCCUCGGGAAGUUUAAAUACCAUCUUUAUCCGGUUGAUCGUCACUUGGGACAUCGGUCCAACGGCUUCGUCCACCAGCGUUCCGUCCGAUAGCUUCCAUGUCGACACGACAACGUUCUCAUCAGCGGCGUUGUCACCCUCCUCAUGUGAACCGCUGGCCGCGCCGUGACUAGCCAACCGCUCCCCUUACCGUUGGCUAGCCGCCGUGUCUUCCCCGGCCGACGCAGAGGACUCCAGUGGUCCCUUAGCCAUUGUCGGGUAUAUCG
rnacentral:lncRNA from 1 species